rnacentral:rRNA from 1 species
GACGAACGCUGGCGGCGUGCCUAAUACAUGCAAGUCGAGCGAACUGAUGAAGAGCUUGCUUUUGAUCAGUUAGCGGCGGACGGGUGAGUAACACGUGGGUAACCUGCCUGUAAGACUAGGAUAACUCCGGGAAACCGGGGCUAAUACUGGAUAACUUUUCUCUCCGCAUGGAGAGAGAUUGAAAGAUGGCUUCGGCUAUCACUUACAGAUGGACCCGCGGCGCAUUAGCUAGUUGGUGAGGUAACGGCUCACCAAGGCAACGAUGCGUAGCCGACCUGAGAGGGUGAUCGGCCACAUUGGGACUGAGACACGGCCCAAACUCCUACGGGAGGCAGCAGUAGGGAAUCUUCCGCAAUGGACGAAAGUCUGACGGAGCAACGCCGCGUGAGUGAAGAAGGUCUUCGGAUCGUAAAACUCUGUUGUUAGGGAAGAACAAGUAUCGUUCGAAUAGGGCGGUACCUUGACGGUACCUAACCAGAAAGCCACGGCUAACUAC